UUAGUACUCCCUCCGUUCAACAAAAGAUGUCUCUCAAAAUUUGGAUGUAUUUAGACAUGACUUAGUGUAUAGAUGCAUUCAAAUAACUUGAGACAUUUUUUGUUGGACGGAGGGAGUAGUUG
rnacentral:pre_miRNA from 1 species